CCCCCCUGCCAUGGGCAGGGACACCUCCCACUAGAGCAGGUUGCUCAAGACCCCAUCCAGCCUGGCCUUGAACACUUCCAGGGAUGGGGCAUCCACAACUUCUUUGGGCAACCUGUUCCAGUAAACAUCAGCAUCUCUGAUGGGGCAAAACCUUUGCCUGGUGAAGCCAUUGCUGUUACCUGCCCCUUCCUCCACCCCAGCCCUAUUGCCAGGCGUUAUUUGCAAGGCUGGCUCCGGUGGCCUUUGGAUGGAAACGACAUUUUCCACCCCGGGGCAAGGUGAGAACCUUUGGUCCCACACCUUCCCCCCAGCCAGGCCCUCGGAAGGGCUUUCAAUGGCUCCACAAAGCGAUCUUUUGUUUGCUGAGCAAAGGUCUGGUGUGUUCUCCAUCAGCCUCAGCCUUUUUCUCCCCGUGCCUUCCUUAUCCCUGUUUGCCCUUGGCACCAGCAGCAGCAAAACUGGCCCCAGAAGCUGCUCACCCACCAGCCACCACCCCAGAGAAAAGCUCUUUCCAAGAAAAGGAGUAGCUUCUCCUCACUGUCCCCCCCACCCCAGGAUGGUCCCAGCUCCUUCUCCGUCGCAGGAGGAGAUGAGGUUGUUGCAAAACACCUCCCAUUUGCUCUGCCGUUGCGUUUAUAGGGAGCCAAGUCCAACGGCAGCCGGUCCACGAGGGGCAAAUUCCUGGGGCUGCUGCCUGCUGGGAAGGCAGGUACCAUCCUGGGGGAAGUCCUCCUGGAUCACAUCGGCUCCUCCUGGAUUGUUCAGGGGGAAAACUCACCCAGGACCAGGGGAAAGGACUCACCCGACUGACAAAGACACACCAGGGUGCAAACCUACCUUUUGCCAAGGGAAGGAACCGGGCAGGGGAGAUCCUGCUGCACGCCCCCGUGUCACCCUGACCCCCCCAGGGAACAAGGAGCUCGAGCUGAGCCAUCUCAGGGAGAGCAUCUCCUUCCCGUGGCCCUCACAGCCCCAGGACAGCGGGGCUGGAAGCCAGGGAAGCUUUUUUCUUGCUGUAGGCCAGCUUUCUGAUGGCUGCUACAACUUCCAACUCCCUGGCCCGCUGGCAGAUAACAAAAGCCAGGUCUCAGACAGCCAGCGGGCGAGCUGGAAAGUACCACCAUCAUUUUUUUAACCCAAAAGCCCUGCUUAGAAACAGUUCUGUGGCACGGAACAGGCUCAACACAAAAACCACCGGGUCCCUGCCCAACCCUCAGCCAGGAAAACCUACACAAAAAAGCCACGGCCGCGGCUUAAGGUCCCGAAAGCUUUCAAAGCACACUGCUAACUCAUGGGUUAAUUAAUUAACGAAGCCCCAAAGCCCUGGGUUACAGUCAGACCCUUCUGAAGGCUCCAACAGGUUUAGUUAGGGCUGUUGCUAAACAACCCCGACCGACCCAGGCGCCGGGGAACAGUUCACCUCUACCUCCUUG
rnacentral:lncRNA from 1 species